rnacentral:rRNA from 1 species
ACGGUACCUGGAUAAGAAGCACCGGCUAACUACGUGGCAGCAGCCGCGGUAAUACGUAGGGUGCGAGCGUUGUCCGGAAUUACUGGGCGUAAAGAGCUCGUAGGUAGUUUGUCGCGUCGUUUGUGUAAGUCCACGGCUUAACUUUGGGAUGGCAGGCGAUACGGGCAUAACUUGAGUGCUGUAGGGGAGACUGGAAUUCCUGGUGUAGCGGUGAAAUGCGCAGAUAUCAGGAGGAACACCGAUGGCGAAGGCAGGUCUCUGGGCAGUGACUGACGCUGAGGAGCGAAAGCAUGGGUAGCGAACAGGAUUAGAUACCCUGGUAGUCCAUGCCGUAAACGGUGGGCGCUAGGUGUGAGUCCCUUCCACGGGGUUCGUGCCGUAGCUAACGCAUUAAGCGCCCCGCCUGGGGAGUACGGCCGCAAGGCUAAAACUCAAAGGAAUUGACGGGGGCCCGCACAAGCGGCGGAGCAUGUGGAUUAAUUCGAUGCAACGCGAAGAACCUUACCUGGGCUUGACAUACACCAGAUCGGCGCAGAGAUGCGUUUUCCCUUGUGGUUGGUGUACAGGUGGUGCAUGGUUGUCGUCAGCUCGUGUCGUGAGAUGUUGGGUUAAGUCCCGCAACGAGCGCAACCCUUGUCUUAUGUUGCCAGCACGUGAUGGUGGGGACUCAUGAGAGACUGCCGGGGUUAACUCGGAGGAAGGUGGGGAUGACGUCAAAUCAUCAUGCCCCUUAUGUCCAGGGCUUCACACAUGCUACAAUGGUCGGUACAACGCGUGUGCGACACUGUGAGGUGAAGCUAAUCGCUCUAAAGCCGGUCGUAGUUCGGAUUGGGGUCUGCAACUCGACCCCAUGAAGUCGGAGUCGCUAGUAAUCGCAGAUCAGCAACGCUGCGGUGAAUACGUUCCCGGGCCUUGUACACACCGCCCGUCACGUCAUGAAAGUUGGUAAUACCCGAAGCCAGUGGCCUAAACCUGUUAGGGAGCUGACGA